CACAAAGAGCGUCACCUAGGGGUACCAUAGCCAUCCAGAAUGGGGCUCCCACAUUAGAAAGCCACUUGUUCUUCUUCAGGCUGGAAAAAGCUCGUUGACAUAAGACAAUACGAGAUGAGGAACGUACUCAACGAAAGAAAAUUGGAAGCGAGACUCACAGGACACACCAUGUUUUUUGGGCUGAAGACAAGCACUUUGAUGACUGUGCCAGACAGUUAAAUAAAAAACACUUUGUGCCUC